CUCUCACCCUCACUCUUCUUCUGACUCCUUCCAUUUUGGUUGAAGGCAGGUGAACCUACCUGCUGCAUUUUUAUACCCAGAUUAGGGACUUCAUAG